CUCUUAGAGUGAAGAAGGAAAGGUUGCUGAAGGUCAAGGAGGCUACUGCUGUCCUCAGAUGGGGCAGCCCCUCUCUUCCCCACCUGGUCACGUAGGUCCUGUGGCCAAGUAUACUCUCACCAGAAAAGGGAACUGAAUCCAGUUUCUUCCCCUUAGGAUCCAAGGGAGUUAAGUCACUAAUGAUUGCAAAGCAAAUAAGAGACAAUAGCAGAAUGCAGAACUCAGGUCUAUUCUAAACCUACGCCCUUCCCAUGUAUAUCACUCAAGCUUCUCAAGCAGGAAACAGAAGCACAUAGCUGUGGUCCGUGGGACAGGAAGGCACAAUUACUGCUGCUGCUGGGAGGAGAGGAAGCUUUGCCCUGGAUUCCUUCAUGAAACACUGGCUUCCCAAAGUCAGCUCAACUGACCUCUCCAUGUGUGGGAGAGGCUAAAGCCUAACCAUCUCCAUGACUAUACCUGUCAGCAAUAGCAAACUAAUGAGCCUAAAAAUGGCUUCCUCCUCACUUCUGCCUUCCGCCGUUUUGUCGUAUACGUGAUGACAUCCCAGGAGGAGGGGAUACACCCUGAGCAGGCCAGCCCUUCGUGUUUGCCAUUCCAUUACCUCAUGGUACCUUUUGUACUCCAUGCUUGAAUGUUCACUCAGAAAGGUGAUACUUCAUAUGGGAAAUUACUUCCUCACCGAAAGGCGUUUAAACCCUUGUGAAGUUCCCACAGCAUGGAAAAGAAUAUUGGGUCCUGCAGAGACAAUGAAACAAUUAAAGCAGAAGACACUCAUCUUGGCCCUAAGAACAAAGCAUCAUUCACAUGGCCAGUGUGUUACAGCAGAUAUGACAAGCGCAGACCUUUCUGUAGAAAUCAACUGAUUCUGAGAAAAUCAACAAAACUGCAGUAUCUGACACAUAAUAGCAACCAAAUGAUUAUCUAUUAAGAGAAAAACCAAAACUGGAAGGCUAUAUUUUGGGCAAGUACAUAAACAUAAUUAAAACCUGUUAAUAAGAGCCUGAAAGGUUAAAAACAGAUACCGUAGCCCCAACUUAGUAGGACAGUGAACCACCGGUGACAUAGAAAUAGAAUUCAAACCCUACACACCA